GCAUGCCGUGCACCAUAAACGAACAACAAUCUUUGUCUAGUGGACGUCUAUGUGUCAACCUAAAUUUACAACAAAUAUAAUAAAGCCAACAUUUCGAAGGAAUCGUAGCUUCGUAAUACCAUGUACAGCAGACGAGAAGCAGUAUCAGAUGUUUUGGAGGAACUUUCCAACGAUGAAAUACGUAGAAGAUUAAUUCUUUACGGCGGUCCAAAUCUUCCCGUGACCGAACAAACACGUGCUAGACUGCUGGAUGUACUGCGAGAAUACAUCGACAAACCUCAGCAGCAUAAUGUAAGCAAAAGCAAUUCCAGCGAUGAGUCAAAUUCAUUAAACAAUGUAUCACGAAAUAAUGACACGCAUUUGCAAAGUUCCACCAACGCCAGCACUUCGAACUCAAACUCAGCGGCAGCUGGAGAUCUGAUCGGUCUACCACUUCAUAUUAUUGUCUAUAGUGGUGCUAUUUUGAUACUCAGUGUAUUCGUGUAUUACUUGCUUUAUCUGUUUUAAACAAUAUCCUCAGCGCUGAAUGUAACUCCUCUGUUGAAAAAAGCAUUUCGCUAGAAGACAACCCCGUCAUAACUGGAUGAAGAAAACUACAUUGGAAUAAAUUUCUAAAUUCAUAUAAGCUGUUUUAA